UCAGCAGACUCCGGGUCGGACUGUGAGCUUGGCGAGAGGUGAGUGUGGCUUCAUUCUCUCACCCAGGCUCUUUCAGGGGUGCUGUGCUCCUGCCUGGCACACCAGCACAGCUGAGGAAUGAGGACUUCCAGCAUAAGGACAUUUAGGGUUGGUUGUUUUUUCCAAACGAGGAAAUAGAGGCUGGCACCCCUUUGGGUUUUCAGCAAAAACGCUGGUGGUGGGUGCCAGUGUUGAAAGGCAAACAAGUGGCAUUCUGCUUCUUGCAUCAUCUGCAUUGCUCCCAUCCACACAGAGAAAUUUUUAAUGGGCUCCCUUUAUGGAAGAAAACUUCUCAAUCUUCUACUUAUUGAUGGUGCUUGUCUUUGUGUUGGUAGAUGUGCUGGGGUGGGUACAGCAGCCCCCUCACGCUGGACUGGGAGUCCCUUUUAUUCUUCCCUUUUUAGGUGCGUUGGACAGAGCGAUGAAAACUUUAGCAGCUGGUAUGUGUGGUUCCUGGUGUUGUUUUUCCUGGCCCUGCUCCUGUCCUGCGGGAUCUGCUGCUGCCUGCAGUGCUGGCUGAGGCGCCGGAGCCGCCUGCCCCGACGCACCGUGGCUGUCUUUGCCCUCAGCAGCUCGGAUGCCUUCUGUGCUGCUGAAGCACCUCCGUGCCCAUUCUCCGCAUCCCUGAGCUCCUGCAGGACUGCAGAGAUUUCCUCUUCUCCUGCCUCAUGCUUCAGCCUUGGGGGAACUGAAUUGCCUCCAUCUUAUGAGGAUGUUAUGAAGGAAAACAAGCUCUAG
rnacentral:lncRNA from 1 species